AGAGGGUGCAAGCGUUGCUCGGAUUUACUGGGCGUAAAGCGUACGCAGACGGCCACGCAGGUCGGGUGUGAAAGCCCCGGGCUCAACCCGGGAACUGCAUUCGAAACCAUGUGGCUUGAGUGUGGGAGAGGAAAGUGGAAUUCCUGGUGUAGAGGUGAAAUUCGUAGAUAUCAGGAGGAACACCGGCGGCGAAGGCGGCUUUCUGGUCCACAACUGACGUUCAGGUACGAAAGCGUGGGGAGCAAACAGGAUUAGAUACCCUGGUAGUCCACGCUGUAAACGAUGAGUGCUGGAUGUCGGGGGUAUUCACCCCCUCGGUAUCGAAGCUAACGCGUUAAGCACUCCGCCUGGGGAGUACGGCCGCAAGGUUG
rnacentral:rRNA from 1 species